rnacentral:tRNA from 1 species
CCAUCGGUGGUUCAGUGGUAGAAUGCUCGCCUGCCCAGGCCCGGGUUCGAUUCCCGGCCGAUGCA